GGCUGGUUAGCUCAGUCGGUCAGAGUGUGGUGUUAACAACACCAAGGUCAAGGGUUUGGAUCCCCGUACCAGCCA